UUUAGGUUACAUUACACUAAAUCAUUGUGUAUCCCUCCGUGGUCCAUUCGAAAGUAGUGCCUAUUUCUAAAGAGUUCCUUUUCUCUUCUUGAAUAUAAGCCAUUUAACAAUGUGAGACAUGUCUUUUGUGGUUAUUUGUAAUAUCCUGUAUGUGUCUGGAGUACUUUGAUGCCUUGGAUUGGAAGCUAACUUAAAAGAUGAACUUUUGAGGGUGUGUUUUCUAUUGUGUGGGGCUUUUGUCGAAAUUAGGAUUCCGAAACGCGUUUUUCUACGGUGGGUUCAUUCGACAGCGAUUUACUUUCUUAGAAGUUGCGAGACGGUAUGUUUUUGCUUGCAAUUAUUGGAAGAUGACAGAUCCAUCUUUAAAAUUAUAGCAGGUUCGGAAAAAUUGAUACGUCGGAAAGGCAAUAAAAAUGCUGUGAAAGUUGUCAGUUUUAUAAUGGGACCCUAUGGGAAUCGGAAUUAGUGUAAUAUAACCUUUAAAAAGCACAUUAACUGCAAUGUCAAGGUCACAUGGAUUCGUCUGCAAGCGAGACAAGUAGAAAAUGAAUUUUAAUGAAUGUUUUGAUGAUUUGGGUGCUAAAAUAGAUGAGAGAUGUCAAUAUUUUGGUCCAAAUGGAUGUUUUAGGUGGUUUUGGACUGUUCCGGAUGGGUGGGGGACCUGGUAUGGACAAGUAAGGGUAACAUUUCCAACAAAUCUUAAAUGUAAAUAUUAUUAUGUCCCUAGAUUGAAGUUUCAGGUGGAGAGCAAGAUGAAAAAUAUGCCAAAUUACAUGCAUGCAGCCCAUUUAUGCCAUUUUUCUCUUUGUUUGUAGGCCUGACCGUUUGUCCUUGAGCCGUAGAUGGUCAACAAUCCGCUAGCUGUCUUGCUCUGACUGGUGCACUGGACAUGAUUUCAAUAGUUAGCCAGACCAUGAUUGAGCUUAAGGAUUGUGCUGCGGAUGCAGCCUGUGCAGUUCCGGGAGAAAGUCACUGUCUUGGGCAAUGCGGUCUGGUAUCAGGUCUGGAUGAUCCUUGCCUGACUGCGGGUUUGUGUACACCUCAAUCCAACUCUGUGUCCUGAACAGAGGCCGCAGUGGUGCAGCGCUUGUGGACGAUCCAUCAACACCCUGAAAGGUCAACACUACACCAAGCUGGGAAAAUUGAUCCCGAUAGUCAUCCCCAGGUAGUGGAAUGAAUGUACACUGAACUACAGAGGAAUCACACCCAAAUGACUUUCCUGCCACGACAUUAGUGUGGCCACUCGCGUAGGAAUUCCUUAGCAAACGUGCUCUUUUGCAUGGUGACUUUGGGCAUUUUUGCAAAACUUACGCUUUCAACACUGGAUUUUAAAGAGAAUACUUAAUAAAAUGUCGCUAACAGGACUUAUUUAUAUGAGAGAGACUAUCUGGAUGCGCAUUAAGUGUCACUUUGUGUCGUAAGCUGUUGAAGGAGCGCUUUGCGCCUUUUUAAGUGUUAAUUUUGGGUAGCCGGCUUGUAUCGGCUUGAAAGCUGCAAAUUAUGCCUCUCAUCAUAAUAGCAUUAAUUUUUGUAAUUGCAAUGUGUAUGUUUAGAUUGUAAGUGAAGCUUUUAAUAAUAAUUUUCUUAAAAAACAUGAUUUUAUAUGCUGUCA